rnacentral:rRNA from 1 species
UUAACCGUGCAAAGGUAGCACAAUAAAUUGUUCUCUAAAUAAGGACUAGAAUGAAUGGCAUCACGAAGGUUCAACUGUCUCCCCCCUCUGAUCAAUGAAACUGAUCUUCUCGUGAAGAAGCGAGAAUAAAUAUAUAAGACGAGAAGACCCCAUGGAGCUUUAAACUCAUAACCAAUUACUUAAUCUCAAAUCACAAAAAAUAGUAAACUUGUUCUACCAUAGUUUUCGGCUGGGGUGACCCUGGAGUAAAAUAAACCCUCCAGAGUGAACGGAGUCUAAUAGUAGAGCUACAGCUCAAAUAAUCAAAACAAUUGACACUAAUGAUCCAACCUGUUGAUCAACGAAACAAGUUACCCUGGGGAUAACAGCGCAAUCCAUUUCAAGAGCCCCUAUCGACGAAUGGGUUUACGACCUCGAUGUUGGAUCGGGAUAUCCAGGUGGCGCAGCCGCUACCAACGGUUCGUUUGUUCAACGAUUAACAAUCCCACGUGAUCU